GAUGAACGCUGGCGGCGUGCCUAAUACAUGCAAGUCGAGCGAACAGAUGAGGAGCUUGCUCCUCUGACGUUAGCGGCGAACGGGUGAGUAACACGUGGAUAACCUACCUAUAAGACUGGGAUAACUUCGGGAAACCGGAGCUAAUACCGGAUAAUAUAUUGAACCGCAUGGUUCAAUAGUGAAAGACGGUUUUGCUGUCACUUAUAGAUGGAUCCGCGCCGCAUUAGCUAGUUGGUAAGGUAACGGCUUACCAAGGCAACGAUGCGUAGCCGACCUGAGAGGGUGACCGGCCACACGGGAACUGAGACACGGUCCAGACUCCUACGGGAGGCAGCAGUAGGGAAUCUUCCGCAAUGGGCGAAAGCCUGACGGAGCAACGCCGCGUGAGUGAUGAAGUUCUUCGGAUCGUAAAACUCUGUUAUUAGGGAAGAACAAAUGUGUAAGUAACUAUGCACGUCUUGACGGUACCUAAUCAGAAAGCCACGGCUAACUACGUG
rnacentral:rRNA from 1 species